UUGAAGAAGAUUAGUUUCUACACUGGUUCUCAUCCAAUCACCAAAGUUAAGCAAUGUCAGCCAUGGUCAGUACUUGGGAGGGUGACCACUUGGGGAUGUUGUAGUAGUAGGCUU
rnacentral:rRNA from 1 species